GAUCCUUGGCUCAGGAUGAACGCUGGCGGCGUGCCUAACACAUGCAAGUCGAACGGAGUGUUGAGAGCUUGCUUUUAACACUUAGUGGCGGACGGGUGAGUAAUGUAUGAGCAACCUGCCUUUCAGAGGGGGACAACAGUUGGAAACGACUGCUAAUACCGCAUAAUGUACGUUGAAGGCAUCUUCGAUGUACCAAAGGAGCAAUCCGCUGAAAGAUGGGCUCAUAU
rnacentral:rRNA from 1 species